UGCAAGUCGAACGGUAACAGGUCUUCGGAUGCUGACGAGUGGCGAACGGGUGAGUAACACAUCGGAACGUGCCUAGUAGUGGGGGAUAACUACUCGAAAGAGUAGCUAAUACCGCAUGAGAUCUAAGGAUGAAAGCAGGGGACCUUCGGGCCUUGCGCUACUAGAGCGGCUGAUGGCAGAUUAGGUAGUUGGUGGGAUAAAAGCUUACCAAGCCGACGAUCUGUAGCUGGUCUGAGAGGACGACCAGCCACACUGGGACUGAGACACGGCCCAGACUCCUACGGGAGGCAGCAGUGGGGAAUUUUGGACAAUGGGCGAAAGCCUGAUCCAGCAAUGCCGCGUGUAGGAUGAAGGCCCUCGGGUUGUAAACUACUUUUGUACGGAACGAAAAGCUCUCUUCUAAUAAAGGAGAGUGAUGACGGUACCGUAAGAAUAAGCACCGGCUAACUACGUGCCAGCAGCCGCGGUAAUACGUAGGGUGCGAGCGUUAAUCGGAAUUACUGGGCGUAAAGCGUGCGCAGGCGGUUAUGUAAGACAGAGGUGAAAUCCCCGGGCUCAACCUGGGAACGGCCUUUGUGACUGCAUAGCUAGAGUACGGUAGAGGGGGAUGGAAUUCCGCGUGUAGCAGUG
rnacentral:rRNA from 1 species